ACGGCAAUUUUUGCAAUUUGCUACCACCAGCGUUUUGGUUUGCUGGAACCAGAUCCAUUUUUUUGCUACAACAGAACAUUUUGCUUUUGCUGGAACAAACGUCAAUUUUUUUUGCAUUUUUGUUUCCAAUGGCAUUUUGUUUUGCUGGAACCGCUACAAAUUUUGCUACUACCGGUGUUUCGGUUUGUUGGAACAUUGCCUAAUUUUUUCUAUUUUUGCUUUCAUCGUUUUUAUUUUUUGCUGGAACCAGCCUCAAAAUUUGUUACCACCAUAUUCAGAUUUUGCUGGAACCGGUAAUUUUUCUGAUUCAACCGGGUACUGGAGUUUUCUGUUGCCUUUUCGUUUGCUACAAUCUGCUAUGCGGGAUGCUGGAACCUCUUGUUUUGGCGAAGCUGCAAUGCCGCGUGAAAACUGAUGAAGUAGCUGCCAGUGCGUUUUGGUGUCGCAACCAUGGGUGGCGGAGAUGCAAUCCGUCGCUGGCAGUUUUCUCAUGAAUUUAUCGAGCUGCAACCCGCCCACAAUGGAGUUGUGACAGCUUCGUCGGAGAUUUUUGCGUGGGCCAUGGCCACCAUUGCAUCGGUGGGAGGGAAGGGGAGAAGAAAGCUGCAACUGGCGAGCGAUGGCGGAAAACUGCGACCGGCGGCGAGGGCCGCGAGGCUCGUCCCAAGGUGAGGGAGGAUGGCUGGAGAGGGCGGCGACCGGAGCUGCAGCGUGUGCGCAUGGCGAAUCCAUUGAGGGAGCGAGGGGAUUUUUUAUUAUACUAUAAGCUGGGAACGAAGCGGAAAGAAGAUCUGACGGCUAACUUUUAUCGAAUCGGAGGGCGUAGGCGUGACCGGCCGAAACUUUUGGGCCGGCGCGCCGGCGCCUAUUAGUCGCCAAAAGAAAAUCGGGUGGCGUAAUAACUUUUGCCGAUCGGAUCUGCGCCUUAUAUUCUUGUCUUCUCCUCCUCCUGACCCAGGCCGAAACCUAAUCUAGCCGCCUCCUCCCCUCCCACUCCAGAUCAACAAAUCUCACCAUGGCCUUCUCCUUUUCCUUUGCCAACCAUGGAUGGCGGCCGGAUCCUCACCAUGGCCUUCUCCUACCUGUCCGCCGGAUCCUCGAACCAUGGCCUUCAACUCUCUCCGCCGGAUCCUCACCAUGACCUUGUGCUUUCUGGACGCCGGAUCUUCAGCAUGGCCGGCCUUCUCAUGUCUGCCGCCGGAUCCUCAGCAUGGCCGUCCGUCCUCGAUGGAACCGGCCUCAGCGCGCCGCGCCGCGCCCGCAGAUGCAGAUCUUCCAGCGGACAGGGACGUGGGACGGCCGGCAACACCCUCCCGGACCCGUUGACAGCAUGAUGGCCGCGGCCCUCUUUUGGCUUGGUGGUUCGGUUCCGUUUGGUUCGAUCUGAGGAUGUUCGAGUAUUAUUAUUAGUAUUUGACGUUAGAUAUGUUUUAAUGGGUGGGUGGUUGAUGCAAGAAAGAUUCAUAGCCAUCUGCUGGCUCUAUUUUACAUCAGGGCGUCUUCGAUUUUAUAGGUUAUUUUCCCAGAUGAUUUGUAUCUUUAGGAAUUUUCCCUAAGUAAGCACUCAUUUGCACUCUAUUUUUAGAGAAAGAUUGCCGUGCUCUUGUUUCAAUUCCGUAACCUCUUUGAUUGAUGCAUUUUUUUCUUUUUUAGUUUCCCAGUUAUACUAUUUUUCUGGUCAUUUAUAUCAUUAUUAACCAAGGUUCCUUCGCCAUGUUUUGAUAGUCCUACAAACCACAGUUGUCGUACACCACCUUUGGUUAUAGCACUAGAGUCAAACACACGAGGAUAAGAUAAAUCAUACCAACCAUGUAAUUUGUCAUCUUGGUGCAUUCGCAUCCCAACCCCUAUGCGAUAGGCUAAGUGGGACACAUGAACUUCUCUUCUCUAUUCACCUUGUUAAAUCAGUUUUUAUUUUUUUGCCGCAACUCUUAGUACCACUUAUUGGGAGGUGCUAAAUUGAGAGGUAGAUUUUUCAAAAUACAUUUUAUUCAGGCCAUGUUAAGCCUUUUGAUUUUAGCACUUAUCCUCACAUUAUUUAGUGUCAUCGUCAGUCCUUCUUUCUAACCUUCCAUUUCUACCUAUGCAAAUGCUCUUUGCAUGCUGAUGCCGAGGGCUAGAUUUUUUUUCUAGCACCAGUGCUAAUGGAUGUGAGGCGAUGCGCUAAGAUUAAAAAACUUAGCCCCACCCCCACCACUAGCUCAGUAUCCACUGCUAUGCUAAAUGAACUCGCUUUAAGUAGUUUAAUAUGUUUGUCAAUUUUAGUUGAAUUUUUCUAAUGUCUAGCUCAUAUAGUUGGUCCUAUAAGGUGAAUAGCAAGGGAAAACUAAUAAUGUACUCCCUCCGUCCAGAAAUACUUGUCAUCAAAAUGAAUAAAAGGGGAUGUUUCUAGAUGUAUUUUGGUUCUACAUACAUCCCUUUUUGUCCAUUUUGAUGACAAGUAUUUUCGGACGGAGGGAGUAUUUAUCUUAGCUUCUAAUUUGUUGGUUUUGAAAGAUCCAAAUGUUUCAAGUGCAAAAGGCGUGCUAGAGGACGCAGGAAUUAGCUAGCGUUUGUGUUUGUCAGUUGAAGGAUGUUAGAUGCUUAAGCGUUUAUCGCCUCUCUGGUUCAUAGGUAAAACAAAGGAAACACGUAGGGAGAAAAGGAUGUCCUUUAAAAAUUCCUGGGGUGUGAGAUGGUUGUAUUUUUUGUAGCAUGGUAACAUUCUAUUUAGACUUUUUUUUGUCUUGUUUAAAUACAAUUCGACUAUUUAGUUUAUUAAUAUUCUUUUGUUUUUGUCACUUUUUUCUUCUUAUUCAUGCACCAAACACGCAUGUUCUCAAAAUUUACGUGUUCUCAAUCUGCUAUCUUGCGAGCGUGUCUGUGCUGUAUUCUUUAGUUUCUGAGGAUCCUGCAAAUCAAUGUGCCCUUUUGCUUGUGAGAUGUAUGCAGCCAAGAGAUGUGAUUAAACAACAAUGACUAAUUUGAAUAGAGAUAAGAAUCUGGUGUGCCUAUUUGUAUUACCACUAAAUAAACUAAGCAUUAUGUGUAUCAAUUUUUUUGGUUCGACGAAUACUGGUUUACAUUUUUUGAAGUCUGUGCUCACCAUCCUGUGCACCCUUGCUCGUACAGGAAGGAUUCUGUACCACUAGUCCAUGGGGUAGCUGUCAAAAGCUGCACUGUUUCCCUAGGCGCUCAAGUUCUUCUUUUAAAAUCAGUUAAGGGUGACUAUUAUGGUAUGUACUUGUUAGUCCAUUGCCUUUUUAUUUUGAUAUGAUGUAAUCUCGCUGUGUGUUUCCCUGUUCGCAUGUAGGUGGCAAAAUGGAUUGCAGAUGUAUCAAAUUGCCCUUUUGCUUGUGAGGUGUAUGCAGCUAAAAUAUGCAAUUAAAUAGCAACUAGUGCUUUUAGGAAUAGGCUGUCUACUCCAGUUCGGUAAGAUGAAGCAUAGUGUUCUAAAGAAGUUAUACAUGAGCACAGCAAGCAGUGUUCUUGCUCAAAUAGAGAAGUCUCGGCAGAUCUGGUGCACUCUAUUUGAAGUAUUCCACUGACAACCGCCCCAGUUCUUCAUCUGAAAAUAAAAUAAGAAGUGGCAUCAGCAGCAAAACAUAAUCAAGUAUUCAAGGAGAAUUGGCAUGCAAGGUGACUGGAGGCGAGGGAUGGCUCAGAAUUUAGCACUUCUGCUCUGAGGCCAGUGAAGCAGGUGGUCAAUCAACAUGUAGCGAGGAAAGGAACAGAAUGGUACAGGAAGAAUUGAUGAUCUUAAUGGCCCUCUUUCACUUUCAACUCAGUGCUUUUGGAAAUAGGCCGUCUACUCCAGUUCGGUAAGAUGAAGCAUAGUGUUCUAAAGAAGUUAUACAUGAGCACAGCAAGCAGUGUGCUUGCUCAAAUAGAGAAGGUACCAUGUCCGCCUUAUUCAGUCUUUUAGCAAUAAAAUCUGUUCCAUCGCACGGAUUACGUAUAUGAUCUCAUCUAACACAAGAGUAAAUUGCAUACCAUUAAACAUAGUUUUUGCAGAUCAGAUGAAUUUUUUGAUGAAGCAUUCUACUGACGCCCUCCCCAGCGCUUCAUCUGAAAAUAAAAUAAAAAGUGGCAUCAGCAGCAAAACAUCAUCAAGUAUUCAAGGAGAAUUGGUGUGUAAGGUGACUGGAGGCGAGAGAUAGCUCAGAAUCCAGCACUUAUGCCGUGAGGCCUGGAGUUUACAGCUAAGACCGGGCAUUGUGAUUUAAGGCCUCAAAACAGUAGUAUCAUUGUCAUGGUUGUGGAAUAUAUAGGGACGACGCCAUGGAAGUUCUCUUGUGCUCUGUUUCAUUCAUGGUCGCGGAUAAUAAGUAGAGGUUGGCCCCGCUGCUGAGCCAGCGCGAGCCACAAAUUUGCCAUGGUGAGCUACUCCAGAUCCCCUCCCUUACUUUGCUAUGCGCUUCGUGGCCAUUGAGCCAUGGAUGGUCUUAGUUAACAUUUUGCGGUGGCAAUUGAUUCUCGGUGGGGUGUGGUGGGGUUGCACCUGGACGUUAAUUGUUUAUAAUGCGUGGAAUCCAAAACUACAAGAUCUGAUGACGAAAAGAUACAUGCUCCUCGCACCAUAGCUGAUAGAUGAAUCUUAGCACACUGAUAUUGUCACAUUUAGUCAGGCUGAUUUAUCAAAAGGGGACGAUAUUGGAUUCUGUACCCCAUCUGUAGAGUUAUGGUAUGUCAGUUUCUGUUCUAACUUCAAAUGAAUACACAUCAAUUAUGAAUUGAUUUUAUUAGCAAAUGGAUGCUAGCCAGCAAUUUCAUUUCACUUAUGAAGAUCACAUUUUAAUGCCUACUACCUACUAAUCAGGUGGGUCCACCACUUCCGGCCACACAAUUAGUUUCUCUAAGGUCAGAAGAACUACAUCUUCAGCUCAAGCAAUAUGUGCAUUCAGGUUAGAUACAAGGUCAGAGACAAUUUUAUUAUUGAUAUAAUGGUUCUUAAAUUUGGUUUGGCAAGCUUUAGGAAACACCGAUGUCUCGUGUUCAGUCAGUUCUGUUUUCUGGAUUUGACAGAAAAUCAAUAACCUUUUUGAGGAAUUUUGACGAAAAUAUACACUCUCUUUUGCUUUUUGAGGAAUUUUUCACUAAAUAUAUACAUGUCAGUACUCAUGGAAGUCACCGGUAUUUUGGAGUCUUUUGAAUGAAGUUUCUUAGAAAAAGAGCACUCAGUCCAAUUUAACAUCCAGAAAGAGAACACAAUGUUCAAGGGUCUGUUCAAGGGUCAGUGUAGCUGUGUAAAUCGUGCUGAGCAUAGCCAUGUGCACCGCGCAUGGCAACAAUAUCGAGAAUUAGAGUAUAGAAGCGCUUACUAAAGUAACCUAACUUUUUUUAUAAUCCGCAGCAACCAAGAUUUAGUUACAUAAGUGGUGAACAAAGAGUACAUUUUCCCUUUUUCUAAAAAACGUAUGAUUUAACAAAAAAAAGCGUUAGGGAGCAAACUGGUAUGGAGAAACUUCCCUUUUGAAAAUGCUUCUAGAAAAGACGAUAUAUGAAUGAAAGAUAAAUACUUCCAUGUAUUGUCCUUUUUAGAAGUGUUUUCAUAAUUCAGUUUAAUUCUUUUUUCACUUUGAAUUGACCUAAGUUUUUUGUUUGAAAAAGGAACAAUAUAUAGUUGGUUUUAGUCACUUAAGCUUAUCCACUUAGCCUAUCAUUCUCAAGUGCAGCAAUAUUUUGCUGCACAUUUUCAAGGAUAUAAGAGCAUGUUCAUUGUGCCUCAUCCAGAUGUCGUUCGCCGUCAACCUAAGAAUCGAGUGUGUCGUCGGAUUCAACCUGGCAAUGUGUCCAGGCCUAAAUAGAAUUCAGAUAGUUCAGGUUCUUAGUCUGUCCUUUCUCAACGCUGGAACACUGAAGUAGAUUGAGCAUAGGGACAUUGUGAUUUUGUUUUCUUAUCGCUUAACUUCCUACAUUUUAAUCUGCUAAUAUAGGUACUGACCUGCCAGAUUCCUUCCAUUGUAAUCUAUGUGAAGAAAAACAGUGAAUGUUUCUUGAUGAACAAAGGUGCCAAUGCAACGAUUGCAUCAGUCAUCAAAAGGACCAUGAUGUAAAAGUUGAAAACGAAACAAGGUCUCAGGCAGUGCUUAGUUUCAUGGCACAAUGUUUCUGUUGUUUUUAGACGUUUAGCGCUGUUCCAUAGACAUAGACAUGAAAUGGUUACUUGUAUGGAAGCAGGCUCGACAAUGUGAUGUUUAUAUAAUUGGUAAACCAACAAGAAGUAACUGGACGUGCUCUCUUGCGUGCAUGGCAAAUAAUGUGCUUGCAAAAAUAGAAGGUAACUUACAAGUUCUUUGAUCUUUGAAUCUUUGGACUUGAUCCCGGUGUUCCCCUUGAUGCUGGCUAACUCAUCUCGCCUGUUUGAGCUUGGCUUUAAACCAAGGCUGCAAUGCGGAAAUUUGUUAGGUGCCAGUUUGUAUGUUUGUAAAUUUUGCAAUUUUGUGUGUGUGUUUUUACUCCUA